rnacentral:rRNA from 1 species
GACGAACGCUGGCGGCGUGCUUAACACAUGCAAGUCGAACGGUGAAGCGCCUUCCUUUUUGGUGGGUGUGGAUGAGUGGCGAACGGGUGAGUAACACGUGAGUAACCUGCCCCCUUCUUCUGGAUAACCGCAUGAAAGUGUGGCUAAUACGGGAUAUUCUGGGUCUGUCGCAUGAUGGGUCUGGGAAAGAUAUUGUUUCGGUGGGGGAUGGGCUCGCGGCCUAUCAGCUUGUUGGUGGGGUGAUGGCCUACCAAGGCGGUGACGGGUAGCCGGCCUGAGAGGGUGGACGGUCACACUGGGACUGAGACACGGCCCAGACUCCUACGGGAGGCAGCAGUGGGGAAUAUUGCACAAUGGGCGCAAGCCUGAUGCAGCGACGCCGCGUGAGGGAUGGAGGCCUUCGGGUUGUGAACCUCUUUCGCCAGUGAAGCAGGCCUGCCGCGUUUGUGGGUGGGUUGACGGUAGCUGGAUAAGAAGCGCCGGCUAACUACGUG